UUCAGAUAAUUCUAUAUCAACCCUCUUACCUUUAGAUAACACCAAAUAGGCACCAAACUUCAGAUACCACCAAAGCAGCUCCAACUUUCAAAUGCCAAUAAAUUAGUCCUUUCACUUUAUUAUACCUACAAAUAAGUUCUCAAACUUUAAGAUAUAUGCAUACUAGUCCUCCAGCUUUUAGUUUCCUCUAUAUUCAUCCUCCAACUUUCAGGUAUUAUAAAACCAGUUCUUGAACUUACAACAACUUCAUAUUCGUCCUCUAACUUUCUUAUACUAAUACAAUCAAUCCUCCUACUCUUAUACACCUCCUAACCAGUCCUCUAACUUUUAGAUAAUUCUAUAUAAAUCCUUCAACUUAUAAAUUCCUCCAAAUCAAUCCUCUAAAUUUUGGUUACUUCAUUAUUAGAUUAGGUAUGAUGUAUGGACAUUAUUCACUUCUCU
rnacentral:lncRNA from 1 species